UGCGGCUGGAUCCCCUCCUUUCUAAGGAGCACUUUCCGAGUUAGUGGACCGAAUGUGUUCACGCUCGGACAGCUCACUAGUGGAUGCUGGCUGGCUUGAGAUCUUGUUGUCGGAUGAGUGAGUACUGCGGGUUCGCCUGCGUGGAAAGGUCGUCUGAGGGCUUGGGCGAGAGAUCGGUACGCUGUUGGGUCCUGAGAGAACACGCUUGAGUGUCUUUCAGUGAUCGGCUCUCCGCCGCGGAUGAACCUCCUGGUCUACGAGAUCAGGCCGGCGUUCGCAGUGGUGCGGGGGGAUCUGAUUGUUCUUUGAGAACUGCACAGUGGAUGCGAGCAUCUUUGUAGCAAGUUAGUAAGGGCAUACGGUGGAUGUCUUGGCACCAGGAGCCGAUGAAGGACGUAGGAGACUGCGAAAAGUCUAGGGGAGCUGUCAACCGAGCUGAGAUCCUAGAAUUUCCGAAUGGGGAAACCCGG
rnacentral:misc_RNA from 1 species